CUACGGGGUGCUCCAGUGGGGAAUAUUGCACAAUGGGCGAAAGCCUGAUGCAGCAACGCCGCGUGAGUGAUGAAGGCCUUCGGGUCGUAAAACUCUGUCCUCAAGGAAGAUAAUGACGGUACUUGAGGAGGAAGCCCCGGCUAACUACGUGCCAGCAGCCGCGGUAAUACGUAGGGGGCUAGCGUUAUCCGGAUUUACUGGGCGUAAAGGGUGCGUAGGUGGUUUCUUAAGUCAGGAGUGAAAGGCUACGGCUUAACCGUAGUAAGCUCUUGAAACUGGGGAACUUGAGUGCAGGAGAGGAAAGUGGAAUUCCUAGUGUAGCGGUGAAAUGCGUAGAUAUUAGGAGGAACACCAGUAGCGAAGGCGGCUUUCUGGACUGUAACUGACACUGAGGCACGAAAGCGUGGGGAGCAAACAGGAUUAGAUACCCUCGUAGUC
rnacentral:rRNA from 1 species